rnacentral:rRNA from 1 species
CGACGGUCUCUUCGGAGAUAGUGGCGGACGGGUGAGUAACGCGUGAGAACAUGCCUUUAGAUUGGGGACAACAGUUGGAAACGACUGCUAAUACCGAAUGUGCCUUAGGGUGAAAGAUUUAUUGUCUAGAGAUUGGCUCGCGUCAGAUUAGCUAGUUGGAGUGGUAACGGCACACCAAGGCGACGAUCUGUACUUGGUCUGAGAGGAUGACCAGGCACACUGGAACUGAGACACGGUCCAGACUCCUACGGGAGGCAGCAGUGGGGAAUUUUCCGCAAUGGGCGAAAGCCUGACGGAGCAAUACCGCGUGAGGGAGGACGGCUUUUGGGUUGUAAACCUCUUUUAUCAGGGAAGAAUCGAUGACGGUACCUGAUGAAUCAGCAUCGGCUAACUCCGUGCCAGCAGCCGCGGUAAUACGGAGGAUGCAAGCGUUAUCCGGAAUUAUUGGGCGUAAAGCGUCCGUAGGUGGUUUAUCAAGUCUGCUGUCAAAGCGUGCGGCUUAACCGCAUAAGGGCAGUGGAAACUGAUGAACUAGAGUGCGAUAGGGGUAACAGGAAUUCCCAGUGUAGCGGUGAAAUGCGUAGAUAUUGGGAAGAACACCAGCGGCGAAAGCGUGUUACUGGGUCUGCACUGACACUGAGGGACGAAAGCUAGGGGAGCGAAAGGGAUUAGAUACCCCUGUAGUCCUAGCCGUAAACGAUGACAACUAGGCGUGGUUCGUAUCGACCCGAGCCGUGCCGUAGCCAACGCGUUAAGUUGUCCGCCUGGGGAGUACGCACGCAAGUGUGAAACUCAAAGGAAUUGACGGGGGCCCGCACAAGCGGUGGAGUAUGUGGUUUAAUUCGAUGCAACGCGAAGAACCUUACCAAGGCUUGACAUCCUCGGAACCCUGAUGAAAGUUAGGGGUGCCUUCGGGAGCCGAGAGACAGGUGGUGCAUGGCUGUCGUCAGCUCGUGUCGUGAGAUGUUGGGUUAAGUCCCGCAACGAGCGCAACCCACGUUUUUAGUUGCCAGCAUUCAGUUGGGCACUCUAGAGAGACUGCCGGUGACAAACCGGAGGAAGGUGUGGAUGACGUCAAGUCAGCAUGCCCCAUACGCCUUGGGCUACACACGUACUACAAUGCGUCGGACAAAGAGCAGCCAGCCAGCGAUGGUGAGCCAAUCUCAUAAACCGACGCUCAGUUCAGAUUGCAGGCUGCAACUCGCCUGCAUGAAGGCGGAAUCGCUAGUAAUCGCAGGUCAGCAUACUGCGGUGAAUACGUUCCCGGGCCUUGUACACACCGCCCGUCACACCAUGGGAGUUGGUCACGCCCGAAGUCGUUACUCUAACUGCUGCAGAGGAGGACGC